GGAAGUAUGCCCGAAAAAUAAGGACCUCCUUGAUAGGGAGAACGAUAGGGGUUUAAACCCCCUUACUUCCU
rnacentral:tRNA from 1 species